UUUGCGUUUCUUAGCGGAGUUAUGUUUCGGCGAAUGCCUCCACAUUUCUGAGCUUCACAGGUUCUUUAUCCCUUUACUUGUUUAUCCUCUGCACGCUGGGACUGUUUCCUGAUGCUGCCAGCCAGCCUAGCCCUGGGAAGAACCUCCCAGCGGAGGGGAAUCCUUGGGCAGCAGCAGAAAGGUCCUGCCCUGGCUCAGCUGCAGAAAGAGCCACCCAGCUGCCCCUGCAGAGAGGGCCGGGUGUGUGUCACGGCACCCUCGGACACCACACUGGCCCCGUGAGGCUCCUGUCAUCUGCUGCCAGGGGCUGGGCCAAGAAACAAUGAGCUCAGGAGGAAAACUUGCAGGGAGCUGAAAAAUUUAUUCCUUGCUGAUCUGCUUUCGGGUGGCAUCAGCUGUGUUGUGUGCUCUGAAAAAUAGGAAAUACUCAUUUACAAACUUUGAACUUUUCUUGAGCUGGCGUGAUAUGAGAUCCAAAGUGACAUAAAGGCGCAUUAUGCAAAAACCUGGCAUGCAAUUUAAGUAUUUUAUUGUUCCCUACAAUGGGUUACUACUGCUUCUUCGUGCUUUACAAAUGUAUUAAAACUAGUAUCAAGCAAGUAAAUGAGAACUCUGCUCACACUACUUUUGAGGAUAACUCAGUGCCAGAAUCUCUGAGACAGAAGGAAUCUAUUCAGCCUUUUAAGGGACUUGUACAGGAGACCUUUUCUCAUGGCCCAUUACUUCUGCAAAUGCAUAUGCCAUGUGAGUGUUUCACUGUGACUUAAUCAUGGAUUAAAAACAUAAUUCUCAUGUUC